rnacentral:misc_RNA from 1 species
AACGCAUAUUGCGCCCUUUGGCAUUCCGAAGGGCAUGCCUGUUCGAGCGUCAUUAUCAACCAUCAAGCCUGGCUUGUCGUUGGACCCCUUUUUACCGCUGAAAUAUGUGGUAGGUCCGAAAGAUAAUGACGGCGUCGUGUUUGACCCUAGAUGCAACGAGCUUUUUAUAGCACGCAUUGAAGUGGUCGGCCGACCCGGUCUUUAACCAUCAUUUUCUAAGGUUGACCUCGGAUCAGGUAGGAAUACCCGCUGAACUUAA